AGAGUUGUAGUGUAAUUGGCAACACAGGAGACUUUGACUCUCCUAUUCUGGGAUCGUACCCCAGCAACUCUUCCA
rnacentral:tRNA from 1 species